GCAAUAGGUACCAGUAGGUGGCAGAAAAGUUAUGCGCCAACCGCCAUAAAACUAAAGAAGAAGAUCCUGCUGGCUAUGUGACUGCUAUGUCUUCACCUCCAAACAGACCCAGAUUCUCUUGCUUGAUCUGCACCAGAGUUCAGUUCCCCGCCAUUUCCCCGCCUCCUCCGACUCCGUGUGAGUCACUGUUUGGAUGUGUGUGAGGAAUCAGAGAUGUCGCUGCUGUUGUCCCUGGGGUGGAAACAACACAAUGGCACUGACUAAAGCAACAGAUUUGCUGUCUUCAGAUGGCUGUGACGAAAAGCCUCAGAAUGAUCCGAUCCAGCAGAUGGUUUGUUCCACAGAACGAUCAGAUUGAGUCAAAGAUCAGAGGGAUGGAUGGAUGGAUGGAUGGGGAGAGUGUCAGCAGAGGGCUCAGAUGAGAAGAUCCAGCAGCAGAGAGCAAGGUGAAGGAAGAAAGCAGAACCACAGGGAAGCUGUGAGACACCACGCACCGGAGGGAUGGGACCACCUCCCUAUAUUUCACUUACAAAUCAAUUUUCAAAUCAGCGAGGAGAGGAAGUCAGACCCCGGAAUGGAAGGAGAAAUGGAUCGCCGGCUGAAGCUCUUUUAUCCUGGCGUCAGCUGGCUUCGAGCACCAACGGACUCCAUUGUAAAGCUGUCAUCGCUGCAGCUUUAAUAUAAAAACUCCAUGUCAUGAUGGCAUGGAAGAGCCCAGAGAAGAAUAGAAACCCUUCAUCUGGCUUCUAAUCUCUUUUUGACUCGAGCGCGCUCCAUCAAAUUAAAUGAUUUUUAUCACAUCCCUCCAUAAUAAUUUUAUUUUCUAAUUGCAGGACUUUCUAUGAGUUGAAAGCCGGCUGGUGUCAGGGUUUUGUAAUGUAAUGUCUAUUUAAAGACAUUAUCUGCUGGUGCUGCUGUAAAGAUCAUCCCAGUGUUAGAUCUCUGUGUGCCGAGAAUAAAUAUAAGGCAUUUGUGCCAUGUGUAAGAGCUUA